rnacentral:rRNA from 1 species
UACGUAGGGUGCAAGCGUUAAUCGGAAUUACUGGGCGUAAAGCGUGCGCAGGCGGUUCGCUAAGACAGAUGUGAAAUCCCCCGGGCUUAACCUGGGAACUGCAUUUGUGACUGGCGGGCUAGAGUAUGGCAGAGGGGGGGUAGAAUUCCACGUGUAGCAGUGAAAUGCGUAGAGAUGUGGAGGAAUACCGAUGGCGAAGGCAGCCCCCUGGGCCCAAUACUGACGCUCAUGCACGAAAGCGCGGGGAGCAAA